CUGUCCAUUCCUUCCCUUUAGUCCUAACCCAUAAACUCUGUUGGCUCCUCAUCCAUCCCCAAAGGAAGCACUAUGGACUUCAGCUGAGUGAUCGCUGAGGGUGACAUCCUCUCCUUGCCUCCUUGCCUGUCUUUCCUAAAAAGUGCUCUCCUGCUGAUCUGCUAUCCCUCUCCAUGUGCUUGGCAUCUUGGUUUCUCACUGGUAUCAAACUGGUAGGAGUGGGAUGGGCCGAGAUUCCCCUUCCCCAGUACAAACUUAAAUGUAUAAAUGGCUAAAUCAUAGCAUUAUUUCAGACACUGGUCUGAAAAGAGUGGUUUAAUAGAUGGUGAAUAAAUGAGCUUUGGUGGAUCUCUGUGCAACUUUUGGGGCAUGAAUAGUUCAUCUGCAGUACAGACAUUCACUAAGUGACUCUGGAGCCUAUUAUGCAUUUUUAAAUCUGCUGCAGGCACUUCAGCAAUUUGAUCUAAUUUCAAGACAAUGGGAUUUGAUAAUGCAAGUGCUGAAGUACUUUAAAAACUGAAUCUGAUGCAUAUUUCAAUUUUACUUUUUACAAAACCUCCUCAGAAUACUUGAAAUUAUAAAAACUUUCUCCAAUAGCUUUGGCUUACUGUUAAAAUCUUUUAAUUUCAGAGAAUUUUUCUGUCUUUGGCACAAAAUAUGAACAUGAAUAUCAAAGCUGAAAAUCAAAAGAAAGACAAACAGAACUGUAAUUGAACUAGUUAGAAUAAAGAGAACUGAAUGAAAAUAUACAAAUGGUAGAUAGGUAAAUAGCAGAUGUGCAAGAAACAAAUAGUGCACAUAAAUUAGUAAUCACAAGAAAAGGUAAUGCUCAGUACUCUCCUUGUGAUUUUUAGUAUACAGAGUAACCCAAGAAAUAAAACUUGUAUAACAUCUGGGUAUAAGAUUAGAAAGAGAAUUUUCAAAAUGCUACUUGUUUUUAAAUUUGCCUAAUAUAAUCAGUAACAGUUUUUGUGAUAUAGACAUAAAACUCUCAGAAUAUCCAUAGAAGAGGACUUUGGUGGUAUUACUAACAUGAGUGAAUAGAAAAAAAAUAUAGUGGGAAAAAUCUGUGCAUACUGAGUCACAAUGAAAUAUAAGCAACAAUUCUCAAUAACUUCAAAAAUUUUGUGGCACUCAUAGCUACCAGUAGCUGUCAAGUACUAUAAGCUUUGAACACUAAGACAUUGCAGUUGGGAGUUACAGUACAGACAGAAAAUUGAAAUGGAGAAUGUAUGAAGGAGUACAGGAGUGGUGUAAGGAGACUGACCAUGUGAGUAAAGAUUAAUGGAUUUCAAACCUGGAUUAAGCUAUGGACAAAUGGACUGCUUAUAUAUAUGAGUAUGGAGUGUGAAGAGUGGCAGAAGGGAGAAUUAUUGUCUGCAAGCCCUUUAAGAGCUUAGAAAAUCAUUGCAAAGAUGGUUCUGAAACUGAGUUGUUACAUGUGAGAUGGCAGCUCAUGGUGAUGAGGGGAUGAGCUCACCUCUAGACAUGAAUCAGAUGGUUGACUAAGUUGUUUAUAGGAAGGAAUGUGGAAAACUGGAAGUUCUGAAGUUGUGACUUAACAAAAGUUGUUGCCUAAGCACUGCUCACCGGGCAGUGGGAGGUCAAUGGUUGCUUGCUAAUGAGUUCUCACAACACCAAAAUUAAGAGAAAGUACCAAGAAAUAGUCCUAGUCACUGCAGGAAACCGUUUUAAAAUGAGGAACAGCUUUUAGAUUAAGAGACUAAAUUUGCCAAGGAAAAAAAAGAAGACUGUGCUGAAUACAAAUAGAUCUUCAGAAGAGACCUGAUUUUGUGCUAUACUUUGCUUUUGGAUGAGCUAAUAUCUUACUGGAAUCAAGGAUGAAGAUUUCUGAACUCUCAGUAGAGAUCCUGGAAAUCUUUUUUUAGAGUGGCUUUCUUCAAAGGAACUGUCUUUAUUGUUCAGAGAAUAACAUCCACAAGGAAAACACAA